UUGUAAAGCUCUUUUGUGCGGGAAGAAAGCGUCCGGGCUUCAUACCCUGGGAGGAUGACGGUACCGUGGGAAUAAGCGCCGGCAAAAUUCGUGCCAGCAGCCGCGGUAAU
rnacentral:rRNA from 1 species